rnacentral:rRNA from 1 species
AUUGAACGCUGGCGGCAGGCCUAACACAUGCAAGUCGAGCGGAUGAAGGGAGCUUGCUCCUGGACUCAGCGGCGGACGGGUGAGUAAUGCCUAGGAAUCUGCCUGGUCGCGGGGGAUAACGUCCGGAUACGGGCGCUAAUACCCCAUCCGUCCUGAUGUAGACAGUGGGGGAUCUUCGGACCUCUCGGCUUCAUAUGAGCCUAGGUCGGAUUAGCUAGUUGGUGGGGUAAAGGCCUACAAAGGCGACGAUCCGAAACUGGUCCGAGGGGAUGACCAGUCACACUGGAACUGAGACACGGCACAGACUCCUACGGGAGGCAGCAGUGGGGAAUAUUAGACGAGGGGGGAAAGGCUGAUCCAGCAAAGUCGCGUGUGUGAAGAAGGUCUUCUGAUUGGAAAGCACUGUAAGUUGGGAGGAAGGGAAGUAAGUUAAUACGGUGCUGUUUUGACGGUACCAACAGAAUAAGCACCGGCUAACUUCGUG